GUGUCAGCCGCCGCGGUAAAACGUAGGUGGCGAGCGUUAUCCGGAUUUACUGGGCGUAAAGGGUGUGCAGGCGGGCUGUUAAGUGGUGUAUGAAAUAUCCCGGCUCAACCGGGAGAGGUUAUGCCAGACUGGCAGUCUAGAGAGCGAGAGAGGGACGUGGAAUUCCGGGUGUAGUGGUGAAAUGCGUAGAGAUCCGGAGGAACCCCAGAGGCGAAGGCGGCGUCCUGGCUCGCAUCUGACGCUCAGACACGACAGCAUGGGGAGCGAACGGGAUUAGAAACCCUUGUAGUCC
rnacentral:rRNA from 1 species